UUUAAAGUCUAAUCUGCCCUAUGAGGAUUUAAAUGGCCGCGGUACUUUGACCGUGCAAAGGUAGCAUAAUAAUUAGUUUUUUAAUUGAAAGCUGGAAUGAAUGAUUGGACGAGAAAAUAACUGUCUCAAUUUAAUUUUUUUAGAAUUUUAUUUUUAAGUAAGAAAGCUUAAAUUUAAUUAAAAGACGAGAAGACCCUAUAGAGUUUUAUAUUUAAAUUUAUUAUUAGUUUUUCAGAAUUAUUUUAUUAAUAUGAAAUUAAAUAUUUUAUUGGGGCGAUAGAAAAAUAUUAUUAACUUUUUUUAUUAUUAAUUCAUUAAUUUAUGAAUCAGUGAUCCAUUUUUUAUGAUUAAAAGAAUAAGUUACCUUAGGGAUAACAGCGUUAUUUUUUUUUAGAGUUCUUAUCGAAAAAAAAGAUUGCGACCUCGAUGUUGGAUUAAAAUAUAUGUUUGGUGUAGAGGCUAAAUAAUUAGGUCUGUUCGACCUUUAAAAUUUUACA
rnacentral:rRNA from 2 species